GCUAGCUACAGGCUUAACACAUGCAAGUCGAGGGGCAGCAUGGUCUUAGCUUGCUAAGGCCGAUGGCGACCGGCGCACGGGUGAGUAACGCGUAUCCAACCUGCCUUACACUCUUGGACAGCCUUCUGAAAGGGAGAUUAAUACAAGAUGUUAUCAUGAGUAAGCAUUUUCGCAUGAUUAAAGGUUUACCGGUGUAAGAUGGGGAUGCGUUCCAUUAGAUAGUAGGCGGGGUAACGGCCCACCUAGUCUUCGAUGGAUAGGGGUUCUGAGAGGAAGGUCCCCCACAUUGGAACUGAGACACGGUCCAAACUCCUACGGGAGGCAGCAGUGAGGAAUAUUGGUCAAUGGACGAGAGUCUGAACCAGCCAAGUAGCGUGAAGGAUGAAGGUUCUAUGGAUUGUAAACUUCUUUUAUACGGGAAUAAACGGAUCCACGUGUGGAUUUUUGCAUGUACCGUAUGAAUAAGGAUCGGCUAACUCCGUGCCAGCAGCCGCGGUAAUACGGAGGAUCCGAGCGUUAUCCGGAUUUAUUGGGUUUAAAGGGAGCGUAGAUGGGUUGUUAAGUCAGUUGUGAAAGUUUGCGGCUCAACCGUAAAAUUGCAAUUGAUACUGGCAGUCUUGAGUACAGUUGAGGUAGGCGGAAUUCGUGGUGUAGCGGUGAAAUGCUUAGAUAUCACGAAGAACUCCGAUUGCGAAGGCAGCUUACUAACCUGUAACUGACAUUGAUGCUCGAAAGUGUGGGUAUCAAACAGGAUUAGAUACCCUGGUAGUCCACACGGUAAACGAUGAAUACUCGCUGUAGGCGAUAUACAGUCUGCGGCCAAGCGAAAGCAUUAAGUAUUCCACCUGGGGAGUACGCCGGCAACGGUGAAACUCAAAGGAAUUGACGGGGGCCCGCACAAGCGGAGGAACAUGUGGUUUAAUUCGAUGAUACGCGAGGAACCUUACCCGGGCUUAAAUUGCAACCGAAUAUGGCGGAAACGCUAUAGCUAGCAAUAGCGGUUGUGAAGGUGCUGCAUGGUUGUCGUCAGCUCGUGCCGUGAGGUGUCGGCUUAAGUGCCAUAACGAGCGCAACCCUUGCCGAUAGUUACUAACAGGUUAUGCUGAGGACUCUGUCGGGACUGCCAUCGUAAGAUGUGAGGAAGGUGGGGAUGACGUCAAAUCAGCACGGCCCUUACGUCCGGGGCUACACACGUGUUACAAUGGGGGGUACAGAGGGCUGCUACCACGCAAGUGGAUGCCAAUCCCAAAAACCUCUCUCAGUUCGGAUUGAAGUCUGCAACCCGACUUCAUGAAGCUGGAUUCGCUAGUAAUCGCGCAUCAGCCACGGCGCGGUGAAUACGUUCCCGGGCCUUGUACACACCGCCCGUCAAGCCAUGGGAGCCGGGGGUACCUGAAGUGCGUAACCGCAAGGAGCGCCCUAGGGUAAAACUGGUGAAAGG
rnacentral:rRNA from 1 species